rnacentral:rRNA from 1 species
UACGUAGGCAGCGAGCGUUGUUCGGAUUCAUUGGGCGUAAAGGGUGCGUAGGCGGCGCGGUAAGUCGGGUGUGAAAUCUCGGAGCUUAACUCCGAAACUGCAUUCGAUACUGCCGUGCUUGAGGACUGGAGAGGAGACUGGAAUUUACGGUGUAGCGGUGAAAUGCGUAGAUAUCGUAAGGAAGACCAGUGGCGAAGGCGGGUCUCUGGACAGUACCUGACGCUGAGGCACGAAGGUCAGGGGAGCAAACGGG